AACGCACAUUGCGCCCGCCAGUAUUCUGGCGGGCAUGCCUGUUAGAGCGUCAUUACAACCCUCAAGCGCCCCUGGAAACGGGAAAUCGGGCUUGGUGUUGGGGACCGGCCACGGGUGUCCUGCUGCCUCUGCAGCGGGCGCACGGCCGCCCCCGAAAUGAAUUGGCGGUCUCGUCGCGGCCUCCCUCUGCGUAGUAGCAUAAAACCUCGCAGCUGGAGCGCGGCGCGGCCACUGCCGUAAAACGCACCAAAUCUUCUUUACAGUUGACCUCGAAUCAGGUAGGAAUACCCGCUGAACUUAA
rnacentral:misc_RNA from 1 species